CGAACUCCGAAUGCUUAUGGACUGCAAUCGUGCAGUAAGGGGGCGGGUGCUAAGGUCCGUCCCCGAGAGGAGAAGAAUCCAGACCGCCGUCUAAGGUCCCGAAAUUCUGUCUAAGUUAGUCUAACGAAGUCUGGUCCCCGUGACAGCUAGGAUGUUGGCUUGGAAGCAGCCAUUCAUUCAAAGAGUGCGUAACAGCUCACUAGUCGAGGGUCCGGGCAUGGAUAAUAAUCGGGUAUAAGUCAGAUACCGAAGGCGCGGGAUAGUAA
rnacentral:rRNA from 1 species